UAUUGAAAUGUUUUAUUGACAAUUUCGCAGCAUUUGUAAUAAUAAUAUUGUAUAUAUAUAUAUAUAUAAUUAUUAUUAUGGUAAAGGCAGUGUUGAUUAAUUUGAUUUUGUAAUAUUUAAAAGGAGUUUGUUGUAUCCUGAAGAAUGCUUCAAUAAUGGAUCGGCCUGUUGGCCAAAAGUGGUGGUUCUAAUGGAUAACGGAUUUAUUACGCGGAUGGCGUUUGUCGUGUGCUCGGAGGACUGCUUCGAUAAUGAGAGUGCUGGCUCUAACGAUCUAACAAACGGAUUUAUUAACACGGUUUUUAGACGGCGUUUGUUGUAUCCCGAGGAAUGUUUCAAUAACGACUCGGCCUGUAGGCCAAUCGGUUCUAAUGGAUAACGGAUUUAUUACGCGGACGGUAUCUGUGGUGCCACGAUAACGAGUAAGCUAGAGAUUGAUGAUGGCAGUCAUCGCUGUUGAAUUUAUUGCAAAGGUAAUUCGUUUUCAUUUGUUAAAAAAAAUUUAUUGCUAUUGAAUUUUUUCAAAAUAGACUUCAUCUUUAUAUACAUUUUAA